UUCCUAUCAUUCUGAAAAAGUAUGUGGAAUGGAUCGGAUCAUUAAUAUUUUGGUGUUAGCCGCUUGGAUGCUAAAUGCAUUAAUCUGCAGUGUUCCUCCAGCUUGCGAAAUAAGUCCCGAGUCAACGCUGUGCCAUUUGGAUCCGAAUAUUUAAAAAAAAUUAAUUUUUUUUAAUUGAAUUGUGUUGAAUGUGAAAAGUAUAUGAAAUGGAUCGCAUCGUAAAUAUUUUUUUGCUUGCCGCUUGGUUGUUGAUAGCUUCAAUUUUCACUGUUGCUGCAGAUUGCGAGACGGAUCCGGAGUCGAUGCUUUGCAGAUUGGAUCCAGAUAAUUGAAAAAAGUUAAUCAAUGAAUACAAAAUAAAAUAAAACAAUCUCAAUUCACUAUUUCCAAGUUGUA